GACGAACGCUGGCGGCGUGCUUAACACAUGCAAGUCGAACGGAAAGGCCCUGCUUUUGUGGGGUGCUCGAGUGGCGAACGGGUGAGUAACACGUGAGUAACCUGCCCUUGACUUUGGGAUAACUUCAGGAAACUGGGGCUAAUACCGGAUAGGAGCUCCUGCUGCAUGGUGGGGGUUGGAAAGUUUCGGCGGUUGGGGAUGGACUCGCGGCUUAUCAGCUUGUUGGUGGGGUAGUGGCUUACCAAGGCUUUGACGGGUAGCCGGCCUGAGAGGGUGACCGGCCACAUUGGGACUGGGAUACGGCCCAGACUCCUACGGGAGGCAGCAGUGGGGAAUAUUGCACAAUGGGCGGAAGCCUGAUGCAGCAACGCCGCGUGCGGGAUGACGGCCUUCGGGUUGUAAACCGCUUUCGCCUGUGACGAAGCGUGAGUGGCGGUAAUGGGUAAAGAAGCACCGGCUAACUACGUG
rnacentral:rRNA from 1 species